UACGGGGGGAGCAAGCGUUGUUCGGAUUUACUGGGCGUAAAGGGCGCGUAGGCGGUAGCACAAGUCAGUUGUGAAAUCUCCGGGCUUAACUCGGAAAGGUCAACUGAUACUGUGCGACUAGAGUGCAGAAGGGGCAACUGGAAUUCUCGGUGUAGCGGUGAAAUGCGUAGAUAUCGAGAGGAACACCUGCGGCGAAGGCGGCUUCCUGGCCUGCUCUUGACGCUGAGGCGCGAAAGCGUGGGGAGCAAACGGG
rnacentral:rRNA from 1 species